GGUACUUUCUUUCCUUUUCGCGGCAGGAUGUGGUAUGCUGUUUAUUGAAGAGGAUGGCGGGAUUAUGGCGCUAAAAGCUAUGUUGGUGUUGCCAUUAUGCAUGAUGAUGGAAAUGUUGCAAGAAAUGUACACUAUGGAUUUAAAAACGACAUCCCUAGGUUCUUCAUUGUGCAGAGGCAAGUGGGAAAAUGACUUUUGGCCGAAAGAAGCUCCUACAGUACCCUCUGACCCCACUGCUUUGGUGGCAAGCCAUGCAUAA
rnacentral:lncRNA from 1 species